CCUACGGGAGGCAGCAGUGGGGAAUAUUGGGCAAUGGGCGCAAGCCUGACCCAGCAACGCCGCGUGAAGGAAGAAGGCUUUCGGGUUGUAAACUUCUUUUGACAGGGAAGAGUAGAAGACGGUACCUGUAGAAUAAGCCACGGCGAACUACGUGCGAGCAGCCGCGGUAAUACGUAGGUGGCAAGCGUUGUCCGGAUUUACUGGGUGGAAAGGGCGGGGAGCCGGGUUGACAAGUCAGAGGUGAAAUCCUGCGGCUUAACCGGAGAACUGCAUUUGAAACUGGUGAUCUGGAGUACUGGAGAGGCAAACGGAAUUCCUGGUGUAGCGGUGAAAUGCGUAGAUAUUAGGAGGAACACCAGUGGCGAAGGCGGUCUGCUGG
rnacentral:rRNA from 1 species